GGCUUAGAGUUUGAUCAUGGCUCAGGAUAAACGCUGGCGGCGCACAUAAGACAUGCAAGUCGAACGGACUUAACCAUUAGUUUACUAUUGGAGCGGUUAGUGGCGGACUGGUGAGUAACACGUAAGCAACCUGCCUGUUAGAGGGGAACAACAGUUAGAAAUGACUGCUAAUACCGCAUAUGCCUUGAGUAUCGCAUGGUACAAGAGGGAAAGGAGCAAUCCGCUAACAGAUGGGCUUGCGUCUGAUUAGAUAGUUGGUGGGGUAACGGCCUACCAAGUCGACGAUCAGUAGCCGGACUGAGAGGUUGAACGGCCACAUUGGGACUGAGAUACGGCCCAGACUCCUACGGGAGGCAGCAGUCGGGAAUAUUGCGCAAUGGAGGAAACCCUGACGCAGUGACGCCGCGUGCAGGAAGAAGGUUUUCGGAUUGUAAACUGCUUUAGACAGGGAAGAACAAAUGACAGUACCUGUAGAAUAAGCUCCGGCUAACUACGUGCCAGCAGCCGCGGUAAUACGUAGGGAGCAAGCGUUAUCCGGAUUUAUUGGGUGUAAAGGGUGCGUAGACGGGAAGUCAAGUUAGUUGUGAAAUCCCUCGGCUCAACUGAGGAACUGCAACUAAAACUAACUUUCUUGAGUGCUGGAGAGGAAAGUG
rnacentral:rRNA from 1 species